GACGAACGCUGGCGGUGUGCUUAACACAUGCAAGUCGAACGGAAAGGCCCUGCUUUUGUGGGCUGAUCGAGUGGCGAACGGGGGCGUGACACGUGAGUAACCUGCUCUUCAUUUUGGGAUAACUUCAGGAAACUGGGCUUACUCCCGUAUAGGAUCUCCUGCUGCAUGGUGGGGGUUGGAAAGUUUCGGCGGUUGGGGAUGGACUCGCGGCUUAUCAGCUUGUUGGUGGGGUAGUGGCUUACCAAGGCUUUGACGGGUAGCUGGCAUGAGAGGGUGACCGGGCACAUUGGGACUGAGAUAGGGCCCAGACUCCAACGGGAGGCAACAGUGGGGAAUAUUGCACAAUGGGCGGAAGCCUGAUGCAGCAACGCCGCGUGCGGGAUGACGGCCUUCUGGUUAUAAACCGCUUUCGCCUGUGACGACGCGUGAGUGACGGUAAUGGGUAAAGAAGCACCGGCUAACUACGUG
rnacentral:rRNA from 1 species